rnacentral:tRNA from 1 species
UAUAUUUUAGUAUAAAAUACAUGAAAACUUGAAUUUCAAAUUAAUAAUUAAUAUUUAUUAAAUAUAA